UACAGAGGUCCCAAGCGUUGUUCGGAUUCACUGGGCGUAAAGGGUGCGUAGGUGGUGAGGUAAGUCGGAUGUGAAAGCUCGGAGCUCAACUCCGAAAUGGCAUUGGAAACUACCUUGCUCGAGGGUUGGAGGGGGGACUGGAAUACUUGGUGUAGCAGUGAAAUGCGUAGAUAUCAAGUGGAACACCAGUGGCGAAGGCGAGUCCCUGGACAACUCCUGACACUGAGGCGCGAAAGCGUGGGGAGCAAACAGG
rnacentral:rRNA from 1 species